rnacentral:lncRNA from 1 species
UGACGUGGUACUGGUGCCGGUCCAAAUGUUUGUGUAGAACAGAGGAAGCAGCUAGCGGAAGUCAAACAUUGAUGUGUUUGUAAUGCACGGUGUCGGCUGAGGACUAAUGUACGGAGAUUGUAGUCAUGUGCUCACCUGAUACAUGGAUAAUGAUUUUCAGUUCAGUACCCAGAAUUUUGAGUUCUAGUGAUGGUUAGUGUCUUAUGUCUAAGUGAUCAAAUUGAAUAUGAUCCCUUUCAUGAAUGUGGACCAUAUAUAGCCAUGGACUUGCCGUGAUUACUUUGCCAUUGCCCAUUGCACAUGUGAUGAAUUUUGCUGUGUCUCAAUCUGUUCCAGAUGCUUGCAGAUUUUGAUGCUUUGGGCUUUGACUGGGCAUGUUUGGCAAAUAUAUUGAAGUGAAUCAAAUAGCGUUGCGGUAUACCAGGGAGCAGGCAGCAUCUUGCUGGGCAGAGAGCAACCGACUGAAAAACUGAGGUUAGCAAACUGUUUUCCAAACUCAAGCAAAUUUUAAUAAAUGAUAGUUAAAUUAUCCACCGGAACAGGCUUGCCUGAGUCCUUUUAGAUUCUCCAGGCCAGAUAACUUAUAUGGAGGUGACCCACCGUGGCAGUCAACCUUGAGCAGCUCAAGUUUCUUCAUUGAUUUAUACCCAAAAGACACGUGUAAGCUGCUGGAGCUGCUACCACAAGCAAUCUGGAGGAUCUUGACCUUUUCAAAUAAGUGGACCACUACAUUAUUCACAGAGACAUGAAAGCAGAUCGUACCAUCUUGGAGCUGCUUGACACGAAGAAUACAUAGUUGUUGUAGCUCUCCAAGAAACUUCAUCAUGUCGUUUCCCAUCAAAGUGGCCAUCUCCAAAUCCAGCUUUGUGAGCUUGCUGAGCUGGUUGAUCCCCCAUUCUGGCAACUUGUCAUUAAGCCCAUACAGUUUAAGGCUCCGAAGGUUCUCCAAUGCCAGAGGCAUGGGGAUGCCAUCCAAGCAGCCUUGAUUACCACGAUUCCUGGAGCAACAGCCUUGAGUUUCGUUGUCGAGCUGCACUGACAAGGACUCCAGAUGUACAUGACCCUCGAUUGCAGAGAAGAACUCCUUGCUGUUCUUCUUGUUGAUGCCAGACACUCCGAGCUUGCUCAGUUGGGUGAGCUUCUUGAGAUCUUUCACAAAGGUCUUUGAUCCUGAAGCAGCAACGUUGAUAACACCAAGCGUGUGCAACGCCGUCAGUUUUCCUAACCCUCCAGGCACCUUAACACCAACUAAGGAAUGUCGUUUGCACAACCAGCUGGACGAAACAUUUGGUGAUGGUGUUGUUGCUGGGACAUCUGUGCUGCCGGCGCGAAUGUACUGCAGCUUCUGUAACUUUGUAAUAUUCUCCGGAAGGGUCAAUGUGGAGGUGCCCCUGACGUCCAAAGUCUGUAGCUGCCUCAGAUGGUCCAGUGAACUUGGUAGGCGGUUGAUCUCGGGCCGUCCUCGCAGUGAGAGGAACUUGAGGCGACGCAACAGUUUCACCAUCUUCUUGAGAUCUUCAUACUCAACACUACCUGACGCAUCCUCUAGAUCAAGCACCCGAAGCAUCUUCAUACUUUUGGAGAUGAAGAAUGAUUCCCACUGCCCAAACACAGUGAGUGACCUUAGCCGUGAGAAGUCGAUGCUCUCGAACACAGUUUUUUCUGUGUCCCGGCUUGAUAUGACAAGGUGACGCCCUGUGCUUUGGCUGGUUAGGACAGAACUCCUGCCUCCCAAUUCAAACACAAGGUUCUCUUCCAUUCGUCGUGAUACAAUGUACUCGCGAAUGAGACCAUUGACCUGGUAAAAACUCAUCCUUGUGUCAUUCAGUGUGGUGCCACUUAGUUGUGUUACCUGCUGGAAUAUGCUCUUUUCUAGGAGCUGUGAGAAGAACUUCUCCGCAUUCUCCUCGCCAUGUUUUUCCAAUAGUACCCUUGAGUAUCCCUCUGCGAUCCACCGCCUUAUUAGCCGUCUCCGCCGAAUGAUUUGGUUUGGAGGAAAAAUUGCCAGGUAAAAGAUACAUGGCUUGAGGAAAUCUGGGGGAUUAAGUAUGAUGGAGUUCAUCCAACCAAAAAGACCACUUAGACAAUCAAACUCUCGGUUAGUCUCUAUAUGAUCCAUAAAUCCAUCAUUCAAAUAACGAACAGUAUCCUUGAAUGUGUCAGGCUUCAAUGGUGCCAAUAAGCCAGCAAUAGCAAUUAUCACUUUGGGAAGACCCCCGCACUUCAGAGUAAGUUCGUGAAGUUGAACCUCCAGAUCUGGGUCAUGAUAUUUUGAAGGGAAUGAUUUAUUCUUCCUGGUAACCUAUUGCUCAGAAAAUGUAAGGUUAUCAGUUAGCAUUACAACAUCAAUGAAAUCAGAAUUUCAUGUCUCGGUUGUACACCCCCCUUCCCGAAUUAGUUGACUUAGAUUUGUUUACAUGCGGAUGUAUCUGAAUAAGUUUUAGUGUUAGAUACAUCAGUAUCUAGACAGAUUUAAGACAACUAAUUUGGGACGGAGGGAGUACUAGACUAUGAAGGCGAGGAGCUAUAUAUAAACACGUGAUAUAUCCAUGCAUUAGUUCAAAAGCAUAACUGCAAUCCAAUGUAAGAGGGCGGAGCAGGGAAGGUUGACACCUACCUCAAUUUUUAGGUGUCAAAUGUUAUUUCUCUAUUUAAUCAGGUCGGCAUAUGUGGUUUCUAGGUCUCUAACUUAACGCUGGGGAGAAAGCGAGCUCAUGCACGAGAACUAGCAUGAAACUACUACAUAGAUAUAUACUAGCCAGAAACUCCCUUCAUAAAAGAUACAAUAAGUAAAUGGAAGAGGGGAAACACACCUCCUCUUUAAAGAGAGCAAGGGCAUCAUCAGCUUGUAGACCUUUAACAUUAAACGUGAGCUCCCCUUUAUUUCCGCGGCAAUGCCUGGCAACGCUUUCUUCAGCGGUAAUGAUGAUAAUACAGUUCUUUGAAGAUCCAGAUACCAAUUCAGCCUGUAUCAAGUCCCAUUCUUUCGUGGACUCGAUACCAUCAAUGACAACGAGGCACCUAACCUGUUUAAGAAUCCCACGGCACUCUAGAAUGGGGUUUUUGCUUCCCAUCAUAUCAAUAUCAUGGUCCUUGUUGGCUUGAAGAGAUUGGGAAUGAAAACUCAAUAGUAAACUCCGAGAGAAUUCUCUCAAAUUGAAUGGAUAGGAUACAUCCACCCAGGCAUACUUGUCAAAUAUGCUGGGUUUGGUUUUCUCAACUAGUCUGCAGUCGUUAAGAACUGUGUCGCACAGCAAGUUUUUCAGGAGAGCUGAUUUCCCAACGCCAGCUAUCCCCCACACGGACAUAACUUCAAAUGAAUAGAAACGUGCCUUUGAAGUAUAUUGACGGAGAUUAUUCAUUUCCGACUCCCGUCCAACAAGGGGAUGCUUCGUCAUCCAGUCUUGGGCUGCUGUCUUUCCAACACCAGUCUCCUCGCCUUUAUCUCGGUCACAUUGAGGUCCCUGAAAACUUAACAGUCAGGGCCAGAAGUAUCUAACACAAAAAUUGUGCUGAGAAAAAGUAUUAGUACGUAACGGAGCGGCGAGCAAGCACUAAAAUAAUUGUUGUGCUACUGCUACAGCUAAGCCGCGUAUAAUUAAAGUUUUCUCUUAGGUAGCUGAAGACAUCCUCAAAGCAUGGUUAAUAGUAUAGCCAACUGCUUGCUAUAUUUUAUGUUGUUGCCAUGUCAUAUAUAGUCAUAUAGUCACUCAUACAAUAAGGUUAGCUAUAAGAGUACUACUUUUUCCCAGCUUCACUCAUACAAUAAGGUUAGCUAUAAUUAAAGUUCUAAUGAGAUCGAGCUUUAAUCGUCAUUGACAGGAACUCAAAGGUCUUGCCCCUUCCUCUUGAUCCAAAAACGGUGGAAAAGCGCAGAAUCAGUAAUUCAUUUUCUCAGAAUGUGAAAUCUAAAGAUAAGAUUCCAAUAUCUGAUAUCCGACCACCUUGGGUUACAGAAGAAGCAUAUAUGGUUCUGAAAUAGGAGCAGUUUCAGUACUUCCUAAAUGGUCCCAAAUUACUUGUCAAAGAAAUAGAUAGAAAAAGAUGUAUCUGGAACUGAAAAUGCGUUUAAAUACAUCCAUUUGUGCGACAAGUAAUUCGGGAUAGAGGGAGUACAAAUGAGUGUACAUAGACAUAGAGGGAGUACAAAUGAGUGUACACCACGGGCCCUCCCCCUCCCGAGCCGCCCCCCGCGUGGGCGACCGGGAGGCCCCAGAUCCCAUCGGCCGGACCUCCCCCACUCCUCCUCCACCCUCGCCGCCGCCCAAGCGAAGCCUUGCCGUCGCCGGCGGCAGCGGGGACUCGGGCCCUCUCGCUCGGGUGGGCUGGCGCGGGAUAGCGCCCCCGGGCCGGAGCGUGGCGGGCGGGCCGGUAGCCACGGCGGGUGGUGGCGGCGCAUCGGCGACCUCGCUUCCCCGCGGUAGGAGGUCUCGCGAUCUGGUGCGUCGCGGCCGCCAGGGACGGUGGCGGCGUGACCGGAUCGGUUCGCGGCGGCGCGGCCGGAUCUAUGCCCAUGCGUGGGCCUUGAUCGCUGGUCUGUCAUCGGCACGGUGGUGGGUGCAACUCGUCGACGGCUGGCAGAUCCGCGAGAUUCUACCCUUGUCUGGUCCUUGACAGCGCGGGCAACUCCGCGGGAAACCCUAGAUCUCCUUGGGAUCGAACGAUGGCGGCGCUUUUGCGUCGUAGUCCCUCUUUAGGGCAUUGUUUUGGAGUUUGCUCCAGUUGAAGGGACCAACGACGUCGGCGGCGCAAGUCUGGUGGAGCAACUGCCGAUGAAAAUCGCACCGACUACGGUUAUGGCGGACGAUGGCGGCGUCUUUGAUGUCGUUCCCUUGUCGAGGCAUCGUCGUUGCAGUCUGCGUCAUCAGGCUCGGGAUGCUCUGGGGGAAACCCUAGAUCUGGGUCUUCCGGAUCGGACGAUGAUGGCGUUUUAUCGUUUUCCCUCUUUGGGGCAUCGUUUUGGAGUAAGUGCUGGCUGGGGGGGUGGUGGAGCGGUGCUUCAUCUCACACAUUGAUGGCGGCGGAUAUCGGCGGCAUGACGCUGCGGAGGCUCGGCGUCCGAUCCACAGACGUCAUGGUGACGUCGAUGGCAGAGUGGCCAGACAAGGUAGAAGCCUCAAUAUGAUCUGAAGACGGACCCGGUAUGUGGCUCGGCUGGGGCUUCCGAAUGAGUUUCGGCUUUCGGCUUUUGAUGUUAGACUUAGGUGAGUGGUUUGGGUAGUGGCCCAACUAGCACCCCUUCAUCAUUUUGGAUAGUAGUGGCAUAUGUUGCCAAGACGGGGGAUUCAGGCUCAUUGUUGUAAUACUUUGUAAGGUCCUCGAGAAUAAUCAAUAAAAUGGCCGUAUGCAUCUCCCAGAUGCAGAGGCCGGGGGUCAUCCUCCUUUUCUAAAAAAAACAUAGACAUAGACAUGCUGAUUGGGUGUGCACCUAACACCAUGACAUGUUUCACAUUGUCACGGUUCACUCGACUCAUGUUUCUACAUGAGGUAAUCAGCCAUACAUCCAGCUGCUUGCCCUCAGACGAUAGGAUUGCAUCCGGCUGAUUGCCGACUAGUUGGUUGCCGUCAAUAGCUUGAUCAGCCAGAUAAUGCUCCCAGCACCGGUCAUAGCAGCAGCGGCGACACUCGUUCGGUAUAGAAGGUAGAGCAGGAAGUGCAUAGGCGAAGCUAACACAUCUAGUUCAUAUUGUCUCGGCCGACCGACGUGCAAUAUUGUGAUUCUACGGGAGAGAAAAGGAGUUUAGCUUUCACGUUGAGGAGUUGGGUCAAGAAGAUACAGAGAAUCAAAUGGAUGAGAGAAGCAAACACAUCUAGCUCGUGGCGUCCGGCGCCAGCACGCCGGCCGGCUCACCCUUGUGAUUUCAUGCUCGAGAAGAGGGGAUUAAUUUUGUUGUGAGAAUUUUUUUAGANNNNNNNNNNNNNNNNNNNNNNNNNNNNNNNNNNNNNNNNNNNNNNNNNNNNNNNNNNNNNNNNNNNNNNNNNNNNNNNNNNNNNNNNNNNNNNNNNNNNNNNNNNNNNNNNNNNNNNNNNNNNNNNNNNNNNNNNNNNNNNNNNNNNNNNNNNNNNNNNNNNNNNNNNNNNNNNNNNNNNNNNNNNNNNNNNNNNNNNNNNNNNNNNNNNNNNNNNNNNNNNNNNNNNNNNNNNNNNNNNNNNNNNNNNNNNUAGCUUUGAGUGUGUUUGGUAGCUUGCAAUAGGUCCAACCAGCCCGUGCAGUGCAAAAAUGGCCCAUUUGAUAGAAUGAGAUAUCGUUGUAGCUACUGGUGAUGGAUUGAUAGCACGCUAGGUGUUGCUUGAAGGCCUUCAUAAUGUUCAUGUUGUUUCUAUGUCGACAAGGAUGAUACUAUGGUAGAUAUGGUAUUAGCCCGUGAAUCAGAACAUGUGUAGUAUGCUAGUUUGAAAGUAUGUAGGUGUCGUAGUGUGUUGAACUCCAUGGUAUGCUAGCUUGAAUACUAGUCAUAGGGUGGUGUCUUGAACUUCAUGAUCCAUGUCUACUAUGUUUACUGCCUAUGUCUAGUGGUCUUUCUUACUGCCCAUGUGUAGUGUGUUCCACUAGUCCUGACGCUAACGCUUGUAGGACAUGAGUAUGCAAGAGUUUAAUCGGGCCAUUGUUUUGUCCAAGCGACUAUUCCUCCCACCCUAUGUUGAGGACUCCCGACCUAUGACUGAGGAACUGAUGCCUCUGGGAUUCAGAUGUCUUCCAGGGGUCAGUUAGGCCUCAAAUAUUUGUGAUGGUUGUGCCUAAUGCUACUGCUGCUGCACAUAAGGCAACCAUCAAGGCUGGGAAGGCAAAGAUUGUUGAGAGGGGGAACUCGAUGAAAUGGCAUCCGUUCCGGUCCACAUUCUUUCUUAACAAGAUGCGUGAGAUCAUAGCAAGUGGGAUGAGGACUGAUAAGGGCUUCAAGGAGGCACACUUGAAUUUUGUUGCCAAGCAGGUGUUCAAGUUCUAUGGUCAAGAGGUCACCUCGACCAGGUCUACAACCACCUCAGGAAGUGGAGAGCCAGAUGGAUCCAAGUGUCCAAGGUCAGAGUCCUAAACAACACAUCAUGGGAUCAGGACACCUACACGAUCCUGUUGGAAGUAGAGCACUACCAAGGCCACAUCACGAUUAGCUCACAUGCCACUUGUUUAAGCCUGUCUAACAUGAGAAUUACAACAAACCACAUUGUGUUUCCUUCUUAGGACCACACAAGGACGCGUAGUUCCUCAACACAACCAUCCAUAACUACCCACAGAUGCAGUAGAUCUUCUCCUUUGGGCUGGCAACCGGCAAGCAUGCCACGGGCUCCGGUGAGCUACUCGGUUCACCUAUGCCUGACUUUCAAGACACCUAGGACUUAGAGACCUUCGUCGUUGAUGGUCCUCACAAUGGUGGUGAUCAUGUUCAUGUUCUUGAUAGGAAGAGGAAGAAGGGUGGCUUGAUGAAGGAGCUGAGUGUCUUCAGCAGCAUGACUGACACCGUCAAGGAGUUGGCAACCGCCAUUAGGGAGAGCAAGCCGGUCGAUGUCCACCUUGACCAAUAUAUGGUCAUCGUGGACCAAGGUGGCUUCAGUCCGAAUGCUCUAACAACUACUCUUAGCCACCUGCUGGAUGAUAAAGCACAUGGUAUUGGGUUCGUUUCCAUGGCGCUGGCUUAGGUCCAUCCUGGGAAAGCACUACUACUUGUGAUGUUUCUGGUAGUUGGGAUGAUGGCAUGCAUGAUGAUCGAUGAUGCAUUUUAUGGUGGCUAGGGCAUGAAAACUAUUUUUGUCAUAUUAAAUUAUUUUCUUGUGGUCUUGUUCUCUGUAUUGUUUUUGGAAACAAAGUACUCUGUAUUGUUCAUGUGCUGAACUUCGAGGUGGUAUAUACACCCCUCACGCACAUGGUGGACUUGUGGUGGUACGAUUGCAACUUCUUUUUGGAUGUGAUGAUAGGAUGACACCGUAGUAACUAGGAUGAACAUGCUCUGCCUUCAUGAUCAGGCAUGCUUAAGUUUCUUCUGUUCUGUGUGUAGUGUGUUCCUUUGCUUCUUGUUUGAACUGCUGCUCUUCUAUCAUGCUAGGCAAAGUGGUAUGUGGUGUAUAGAGGAAGGGUUCUAGGGGUUUACAGUUCAUGAAAAACAUAGCAAAAACAAGUGACCCAUUACACAGACAGCCCAUGCUUACUCCAAGUUUGUGCUCAAGAAGAAGAGCAAUAUUGAAGUAGGCAAUCCUCGUGGUCAGUUUGGGCUAUGUGGGAUGAAAAACUUUGUCAUCAUUGUCUCGUUCGUCGUCAUUGUAGUGUUAUUUUAAUGGUGUAGUCGGUGUCAUUGUGUGUAAGGUGAUGAUAAGUUAAGAAUACCUGACCGCAUGUAUGCAACCAAAUAUUAUGCAGUGCAUCAGCACAACCAUAAGUAAGCAACCGAACAUGGGGUUGGAAUUGGUGUUAUCAUGCAGGCGGGCAAUAUGGUUUUCAGCCUGCAUCUGCUCUGCUUGUCCCAGGUGAGACACAUAAGCAAGCACAUACGCAGGCAACAAAACCAUGCGCACAACAUGGUUUUCAGCCUGCAUCUGCUCUACCUGUCCCAGGUGAGACACAUAAGCAAGCAUAUAUGCAAGCAGGCAAUAUGCAGGGAACCAAACCAUGCGCACAACAUGGUUUUGAGCCUGCAUCUGCUCUGCCUGUCCCAGAUCAGACACAUAUGCAAGGGGGCAAAAAACAAUGCAGUCUACCAAACAAGCCCUUUUUGUGUGAGAAACUUUUAGUCUAUUCAUCUUCAAUCAUGGCAGUACAAAUAACACCAGAGGUAAUAAAAAUUACUACCAAGUCUGUGGACCACCUAGCGAUGACUACAAGACUGGAGCGAGCUAAAGGUGUGCUGUUGUCAUCGCCCCUCCCUUGCCGGAGCUGGUCAAACCUUCACAUGCCCUCCGACGAUACUAAACGCACCAUCGGGGUAGGGAUAGAAUGUGGGAGACAUUAUUCCUACUGAGAGACAUCGCCGCCAUCAUACAGCCUCAACCAAGACGUUGAACCUAACAAGAACGUGAACGGGGCCCUCCCGCCGGCGGGGGGCCGAGAUUCUCCGCACCUCCAUGGCCCAAAGGCCAUCGGAGACGAGCGGGGCCAACAAGAGGAGGAGGAAAGUUUNNNNNNNNNNNNNNNNNNNNNNNNNNNNNNNNNNNNNNNNNNNNNNNNNNNNNNNNNNNNNNNNNNNNNNNNNNNNNNNNNNNNNNNNNNNNNNNNNNNNNNNNNNNNNNNNNNNNNNNNNNNNNNNNNNNNNNNNNNNNNNNNNNNNNNNNNNNNNNNNNNNNNNNNNNNNNNNNNNNNNNNNNNNNNNNNNNNNNNNNNNNNNNNNNNNNNNNNNNNNNNNNNNNNNNNNNNNNNNNNNNNNNNNNNNNNNNNNNNNNNNNNNNNNNNNNNNNNNNNNNNNNNNNNNNNGUGUUGUGGCGAUUACCAAUGCCCUUUGAGGCUGAGGGGACAGCAAGAUUCGCCCGGCCGUAACAAAAGUUGCGUUUCAUGUACUAUCACAGGUGGGUAAUUUAUUUACUUUAUUUUUAAUAUACAUGGCGACGAUUUGUUAAUUUACAGUACCAAUGGUCGGAUGUUUCUCAUUAAUGUGUAGCCUAUAUUUUCAUUUUUCCUAGGUAUUGUGAUUUUUAGUAUAUGAUACAAAGAUAGAUAUAUAGCUAGAUAGGUAGAUAGGUAGACGGUACUUUUAGUGCAUGAUAAAUAGGUUAACUGGGAAUUUCAAGCAAAUAAAAACAUAUUUCCUAAAUGGUAAGGUAGUACUAACUAAUGACGUUCGAGGCUUAAUUACCUUGUUGAAGAGGGCACAAAUGGAGUGCUCUGCGGAGAACUGCUUCAGCUCCAGUAUCUCGUAAGUGUGGCCGAUGCACAAGCUUGCUAUUUCUGAUUCCUGCGUGGACACGAUGAUGCAGCUGCCAUUCUCCCUAUGAGGAAGAAACUUCCUGAUAGCAUGCCAUUCUACCAUGUUUGAGAGAUCUUCCAACACAACAAGAUACCUCUCCUGUGUGACCAGCUGCUCGAACUUUUUGAAGAGAUGUGCUUGAGACUGGGUGGCUUCAUCCAUCUUGGUUAGGAGUUGUACACAUAUGGUGGUUUCUCCUUGUUCCUCGAAAGAGUGUUCAAAGAACUGAGCCAUCAAGUUGCGGAUGAAGUCGUGUGGAUUGAAAGGAUGCAUGAGCUUCACCCAGGCCCGGUGGGUAUAGCUAUGGCAGAUCUCUGGGUCCUUGUAGGUCUUCAUCAUUAUAGAUAUCGCCCCUUGAUUGCCUGCUGACCCCCAUACCGAGAUCACUUGGAGGUCAUUACUGGGACGACCUUCCUGUGUGAUUAGCUGGGUGAGAUCCCCAAGGAAUUUCUGUCCUUUCGCCGCAUCCCUUGCCUUGAGGAGCAUGUCGAGUGCUAUUGCGCUGGAGGCUCCCUCUUGUUGCAUCAUGAUCAACUUGGAGCCAGCAGAGUCGGUGAUGUUACUGUAGCGGGAGUAACACUUGCUUAACUCCUCGGCCCUGCCCUUGAGCUCCGCUAACUCCUCGACGGCCUGGUCCAGUGGCAGCGAACAGUCUGCCAGUGCCAUGCAAGGCUGGAACAACCGGCGCCAGAAGAUUGGUUUGCUGUCAAGAUGAACUACAUUUUCAACACAGUCUUCGAGAUCGUAGGCCAGCUCCCGGACAUGCUUCACCCAGGUACCAACCAAAGUGUUCUUGACACUCUCCUCGUUGGCGACGUUGAGAAAGGACUGCAUCAUCUCGAACUCGAGAGUAAUGGACACGAGGUCACGCUGCGCCCUCUGCCGGAGCUUGGCGUCAUCUUCGAUCGCCGACUGGACCUUUGUCAGCGCCCCCUCGACCACCGAUUUGGACAAACCAACCACCAACUCCGCCAUGGCUCCACCUAGUUAGCUAUCCUUCUUCGUCCUUGGAUAGCUCAAGGGCAGGUGUUUGGUAGGUGUUUCUUCUUUCUUGUGUGGUGUGUGGUAGUUGUUUCUUCGUCUCAGUGGAGGCACAGAGUGGCCAGGAUGCGAACGAAACAAGCCCUUAUAAACGCGAAAAUGCUAAACCUACGUAAAGGGGUACGUAAGGUUACGUGACUUUCCAGCAGCGCAUUCUGGCCACGGGCCACCUACUGCAUGCGCUACAGACAAUGGUAGCUGGGUGUGUACGGCCAUGACCACUUGCUGCACUAUUUACUACUCCCUCUGUAAAUUAAUAUAUGAGCAUUUAGAUCAUCAAAAUGGUGAUCUAAACACUUACUUCCUCUGUCCAGAAAAUACUUAUAUGAGGAAUGAAUGUAUUUAGACGUAUUUUAAUUUCAUGUACAUUCAUUUUUAUGACAAGUAAUUUCGGACGGAGGGAGUAUACUAGUUUAUAGAGGGAGUAGUAUAUAUACACAUCGGUCAACAACAGUAACUGAUUGGUCUUUCCUUUGUGUGUUGUUCAAGAACGUGCCACCGGUAAUUCCUCUUGACUUGUUAUUUAAUUACAAAUAACUUAGCAGUAGUAGACUCUGCACUACUGGAAAAACUCUUUCAUGUUUGCUGAGUACCGAAACUCGGGAUAAUGGCAAAAGCUAUGUAAGACAAGUACGGCUCUCGACAAACAGCGGGACAUGACACAUGGGAGACGUUACCGAGCCCCCGGCUGAAUGUACUCGGCAAACAUGAAAGAAGUCACCGCCACCACCCAGGCGCCGCAGCCGUCACCACCCAAUUCCGGCCGCUAUGGUCGAACUGGCACAGGGCAAACGGACGAGGCCGGAUGCCGCCCUUUUGGCCGAUCUAAAUGGGUAAAAAGCUAGCCGAAACCGCGUCCGUUUGCGCAGGCCAGUUGGAGUUGUACUGAGAACGCUCACUUGAUCAUCCCAUCCCUGACGUACGUGUUGUGUUCGUAAUACUAUAAUACCUCCAACUACUACCUACUCCCUGACGUACAAUCAUUGCUAGGCAGAUGGUAUACGUACAGCAGUCAUCAACGCUCGUACAGGACGUACAAUCAUUGCUAGGCAGAUGGUAUACGUACAGCAGUCAUCAACGCUCGUACAGGACGUACAAUCAUUGCUAGGCGGAUGGUGGGAGGGGUCGCCAUCUCUUUCGCUGGCGCAGCCUAUCGAGCAGGGGGUGGAGGUGGGAGCUUGAGGUCGCCGUCGCCUUGAAUGCAGGGACCAACGCCCUAUCUUCAUCUGCUCAUUCGCCGUCGAAGGCGUUCACACACAUUCACAGCGGAGGGUACGACGCAACCUGCUGUCGAGCAGGGGUUGGGGAAGGUGGCUUGAAGUCCCAGUUCGCUUUGAGUGCAAGGACCGACGUCCCAUCUGCUCCUUUGCUGGUCGGCAGCGUUCACACAUUCACAGUGGAGCGUACGAUGCAACCUGUAGAGCAGGGUCGGGGAAGGGGGCUUGAGGGCCCAGACUGGCCGAAUCGUCUUCAAUUCCAUGUGAUUCUUCGCCGGCGGGCGGCGGCAUUCAUGGCGGAGUACGACGGCGGGUGGACGGAGUCUGUCAGACCGGACGCUACUAGCUAGGCUUCUCGAGACGGAAGGGUAAGUUUGAUAACACUAGACCAGACCCACUCUUUAUCCAUAUAUUUUAUGACUAUGGAUACCUAUUAUUCAUGGGUAUAAUUUCUUACCAAAUCUUGCCCAUGCUCACUCCUUUUGGGUAGGGUGUCGAAUACCCAUGGACAAAACUGCCAUCCUUAUAACAACUGCUCGUAUUACUACAUGCAUACACUCACUGCUAUCAACGCACAAACACAUACAUUAUCCCUUUUGGUAACCUCCAAGAGAGCUGAGUCGGCGGAUAUUGAUAUUAACAAAGUCACCACAACGAUCUCUUGCCGCUUCUCAAUAUUCCACCUUUAUGAGACAUACAAAUUCAGUUUAAAACAAGUGUAGCCCAAAUUUCUGAGAAGUUCUUCUAAAUUUUCCGGUCCAAGUUAUGUCCUUUAGACUGGAGUUAUUAUGCAGAAAUGUAUAAAUAGGGGAAACUUAGAAGUAGGAAUAAGAACAUUGUCUAAAAAAAGACAUGAAGUAGGAUAAGAAUGCAGGAUAAAAUGACAGAAUGAGCACAUCAUUUUGUCAUUAUUAUAUAAAUCUAGAUGUCUAGAACAAGAAAGACAUGCAAAUUUUACUAGACGCAUUGCCUCAUUCGGUUUGGAGGAUUUUCAUAGGAAAAGCAUAGAACAAGGAUUUUAGAGGAAAAUUUCCUAUAGAUGCAUUCGGUUUGUAGGAAAGGCGUAUAUGAAUAUCGUAGGAAUACCACUCAUUUCCUAUGUUUUUGGAGGAAACUAGACAUCCACUCAAAGCAUAUUUUAUGCGUAGGAACGAGGCAAGUCAAUUCCAUAGGAUGGCAAGUGCCAUCCUAUCAAAUUCCUACUAAUCCUAAUUCCUACGUUUUAGUUUCCUCCAAACCAAAUGAGCCCUGAAUCAAAUUUGGAACACACAUGGUACAAAAUGUAGACAUUAGCAUGAAAGAGAUCCGUCUCCUCCAGCCACCGUCGCCGUCGUUGCGCCAUCGGUACUGAUUGAUGGCUGAAGCUGGGGAGGUCAUGGGCGAGGAAAAAACAAGGGUAACAGACGUGAGGUGUAAGGCCCCGGCCAGAACCACUGGUUCGCGAUCGUUACCCCUGGCGGGAUAUAGACCGACCGCGCGCAUAGACCAACACUGGUAUUGGUUUAACUUUAAGGUUCCUUACGGAUGAGCUCCAAAAAAGAAGAAGAAAUUUCUUGUUGAUAUUUAUAGUCUAUCAUUUCCAAUUAAACCAGGCUGUCACNNNNNNNNNNNNNNNNNNNNNNNNNNNNNNNNNNNNNNNNNNNNNNNNNNNNNNNNNNNNNNNNNNNNNNNNNNNNNNNNNNNNNNNNNNNNNNNNNNNNNNNNNNNNNNNNNNNNNNNNNNNNNNNNNNNNNNNNNNNNNNNNNNNNNNNNNNNNNNNNNNNNNNNNNNNNNNNNNNNNNNNNNNNNNNNNNNNNNNNNNNNNNNNNNNNNNNNNNNNNNNNNNNNNNNNNNNNNNNNNNNNNNNNNNNNNNNNNNNNNNNNNNNNNNNNNNNNNNNNNNNNNNNNNNNNNNNNNNNNNNNNNNNNNNNNNNNNNNNNNNNNNNNNNNNNNNNNNNNNNNNNNNNNNNNNNNNNNNNNNNNNNNNNNNNNNNNNNNNNNNNNNNNNNNNNNNNNNNNNNNNNNNNNNNNNNNNNNNNNNNNNNNNNNNNNNNNNNNNNNNNNNNNNNNNNNNNNNNNNNNNNNNNNNNNACUUCGGCUGUGGAUACCAGGGGCCUCCCCCACCCUUGGUGAACCCGCGACAGUUCCCUAGUCCAUUUCCGCGACAAUAGCACUUGGUUGGGGUGUCAUCGCCCCUGGUUUGACGGCCCGCCGUUAGCUCGGGUGCAGAUGUUGGGUCCUCAGGACUAAGGGAGCGGCUUUACAAAUAUAUUUAAGCAAUGUAAAGAAAAUCAUGCAACUCAAAAAAUGUUUUGUAUGAAAAAAGUACAAUGUGUAUGAAAAACUAGACAUCAAUAUAUAGUUGAAAAAAAUGUUAAUCAUGUAUACGAAAAAUGUCAAACAUGCAAUGUGUAUGAAAAUCUAGACAUCAAUAUAUAGUUGGAAAAAAAUGUUAAUCGUGUAUAUGAAAAAUGUCAAACAUGCGUAAAAAAAUAUUUGGGAUAUAUACAAAAAUGUGGACGAAACAAUUUGUCAUCAAAAUUUUAUUAAUAUAUUAAUAUUUUAUUUAAAAAAGUUAAAUGUGUAUGAAAAUGUUUUUGAUGUACACAAAAAUGUGCAAUGUGUGUGAAAAAAGGGUAGACAUGUGUGGAAAAGAGGAAAAUAAAAUAAAAUAAACAAACAAAGAAAACCAAUGAAGCUCGAGAAAGAAACAAGGAUAACCGAUGAAAAUCAAGAAAAUGAAAAUAAAAAAGAAGAAGCCCGAUGCAAAACAGUGAAAAUGUUAAAAAUCACAUCCCUCGGAAAUAUUAGUAUGUGAUGCAAUUAAGAUCUUGCCGAAUAUUAGUAUGUGAUGCAAUUAAUAUAUUGUCUAAUAUUCCCUCGGAAAAGAUAUUGCCUAAUAUCAACUUGCCUUGCACGUACAUAAUUAGUAGUUGAGCAAUGGAAUCGGGACAAACGUCCCUGUUUUUGUAAAAAAUAAAUUUAGGGCCAAAAGUUUUAUAUAUAUUUUGUUUUUCCAUAAAAAGGAAGAAACAGAGAGAGAGAGAGAGAGAGAGAGAGAGAGAGAGAGAGAUGCUCUUUUGAAUGAAAGGACUGGCUACUGCUGGAGUUCAGCGGUGGAAGAGGCUUCAUAGUCAAGAACAGGAAGAAAAGGCUAUGGUGCAGUCUAUGUGUGUUAAACAUGCAGUUUUUGGAGUGCCCACCCCACCGAACAGCGGUAGCGAGCUCUUCAGCCGCAAGGCGGCCUUUGCAGCCAUGCUUGAGAGCACGGCGGGCAGCAAGAAGCGCUUUCAAGAUGACCAAGACCUUAUCCUCAGCAUGAACACCACUAGUACUGAUAGCCUAGAGGGUAGGGGUGAUAUAGAUAUGAGUGUAUCUUGUAAAAGAGUGUGUCGGGAGAGUUGAAACUGUAGUAGGCUUAGAUGGGUCUACUGUGCAUGUAACAGAGGAACUAGAUGGGGGAGAGGAGGUGGCUCAGGUUAGAAGGAGAGAAUCUGUAGGGGAUGAGAGAGAUGGAGAGGACAAUGCUAAGGAAGCUACCGGCAAUGGGGCUGUCGGUCAACUGACGGGCGCGCUGGAUGAUGCUCGUCAGGAGUCAUGAAAAUGAUAUGUUGGAACUGCCGACGGUUGGGUCGACCUUGGACAGUCCAAGAGCUUGUGUGUCUCACAAAGACGCAUCGACCCAAUGUUAUCUUUCUUUCUGAAACAAGGCAAAAUAAAGAAUAUGUUGUGAGUUUGCGUUAUCGGUUAUGUAUGAAAAAUGUUUUUACUGUUUCUAUGCCAGGCAAAGGAGGUGGACUAGCGGUCUUUUGGGAUGAUCUGUACACGUUGGAGUUGAACAAAUAUGGAGAACACUUCAUUGACAUGUACAUUUAUAAUGGUGCUGGAAGUAAAUGGAGAAGCACUUUUGUCUAUGGGGAACCAAAGGUAUGUAAUGUGGGAGUUAUUAAGGCGAAUUAAACCGCUUGGGUCUGGGUCGUGGUUUAUGGUUGGUGAUUUUAAUGAGGCAAUGUGGCAGAAUGAACACUUCUCUCGGAUCAAGGGAUCCCAUAAACUCAUGGAUAAUUUUCGUGAGGUUCUCUCUGAUUGCAACUUAUUUGAUUUAGGUUUUCAUGGAAUUCCUUGGACUUACAAUAAUAAGCAGGAAGGCAAUAAAAAUGUCAAGGUUCGGCUUGAUCGAGCGGUUGCCUGCCCCCAAUGGUCUUCUAUAUAUCCUGAUUGCAAGGUUACUCACAUUAUCAGCUCCAGAUCUGAUCAUUGUCCUAUUCUUAUUGAAUUGAUGGGUGCCCCUCGCUCAGGUACAAUUUUUAAGCAGUUGAAAUAUGAAGCAUACUGGGAGAGGGAGGAAGCGGAGUUGAAAGUGCAGAUUGAAUCAUGUUGGAAUAAGAGCAGGUACGUUAAUGAUCUGGGAGAUGUGGCAAAUAACCUGGACAAGUUGAUGAAGUCUCUUCACGGAUGGAGUAAGGUUCACAUUGGAUAUUUGCCAAAAAAGCUUGAAUCUGCUCGUAAAAGAUUAAAUGUGCUUUUCAAGAGGAAUGACCAUAAUGCAAGGGAGGAGAGGAAGAAAAUUCUAACUGAGAUGGAUGAGCUCCUAAUUAAGGAAGAAAUUAUGUGGAAGCAGAGAUCAUGUUUGGACAAAAUGAGAUGGGGGGGUAGGAAUACAAAUUUUUUCCAUAGGAAGGCUACAUGGAGAGCGAAGAAGAAUAAUAUUUCUGCAAUUAAAAGAAGUGAUGGAUCUCUAUCUCAUGAUUUGGAUGAAAUCAAAGGUAUUGCUAAUUCGUUUUUCAAGAACCUUUACUCUUGUGAUACUAUGGUUAACCCAUCUCGUAUUAUUCCACUUGUGAAACCAUUGGUGAAUGAUGAAAUGAAUGAGGAACUAUGCAAAGCAUUUUCGGAGCAAGAAAUUAGUGACACUCUCUUCCAAAUUGGUCCUUUGAAGUCACCGGGGCCGGAUGGAUUUCCUGCUAGUUUCUUCGAGAGGAACUGGGGUUUGUUAAAAGAAGACAUUGUUCGUGCUGUCCAGCAAUUCUUUUUCUCAGGAAAAAUGCCCGAAGGGAUAAAUGAUACUACCAUUGUCCUUAUUCCUAAAGUGAAGAAUCCCGAGUCGAUGAAGGAUUUUCGGCCAAUAAGCCUAUGCAAUGUCAUAUAUAAAAUUAUCUCCAAGUGUCUCGUAAAUAGAAUGAGACCCCUUUUGGAUGGUAUGAUUUCUCCUACCCAAAGUGCCUUCAUUCCUGGAAGAUUAAUUUUAGAUAAUGCUCUCAUCGCGUUUGAAUGUAUGCAUUCGCUGAAUAAUCUCAAAGAUAGUCGUGGCGAAUACUAUGCAUAUAAGUUGGAUUUGGCAAAAGCUUAUGAUCGUGUGGAUUGGAAGUUCCUAGAAAAUAUGCUUCGAGCGUAUGGCUUUGCACCAACCUGGAUAAAGUGGAUUAUGACAUGUGUUACAUCAGUAAAAUUUUCUGUGCGCUUUAAUGGCCAGCUGCUGGAGUCUUUUCAUCCCUCGCGUGGGCUUAGGCAAGGGGAUCCAUUAUCGCCGUACUUAUUCCUUUUUGUGGCUGCAGCCCUUUCUUUGCUUCUAAAUGAUGCAUCGGCAAGAGGGGUGAUCCAAGAUUUCCGGUUGAACAGAUAUGCUCCAGGUAUCUCUCAUUUAUUAUUUGCUGAUGAUAGUCUCCUGUUCUUUAAGGGUUCGGUGGAGCAAGUCUUGGCUGUUAAAGGAAUUUUGACGUCUUAUGAGGAGGGUACAUGCCAAUUGUUAAGUCCAGAAAAAUGUUCCAUUUUAUUUGGGAAAAAAUGCUCGCUCGAAGAUCAGGUGGCCAUAUUGGUCAUCCUUCAGAUCACGAGUGAAGGAUUUGAGGAUAAAUAUCUAGGUUUACCAGUACCAGAAAGUCGCAUGAAGGUGGGCAAAUUCCAAUCUAGCUACCAAAGAUAAAGCACUUAAGCGGGUGACCGACUAGGUCAAAAAAUAUGCUUCUAGCGUGGUGAAGGAAAUCCAGAUCAAGUCUGUUAUUCAGGCCAUACCGGUCUAUGCCAUGGGUAUAUUUAAAUUUCCCAUGUCCCUCUGUGAUGAGUUAUCCCAGAUUAUCAGGAACUUCUGGUGGGGUGAUGAGGAAAAUAGAAGGAGAACUCAUUGGCUAGCUUGGGAUAAGAUGACAAGACCAAAAAGUGAAGGAGGUAUGGGCUUUUUGUGAUCUCAGACUAUUUAAUCAAGCACUUUUGGCAAAACAAGUGUGAAGGUUAUUGGUUUUUCCGGACUCGUUGUGUGCUGAAGUGAUGAAAGCAAAAUAUUACCCUCAUGGGCAUCUUAUUGACACUGUUUUCCCUCAAUCGAUAUCACUUCCGUGGCAAGGUAUUAUGCAUGGCCUCGAAUUAUUGAAACAAGGUGUAAUCUGGAGAGUUGUAGAUGGGACCAGUAUAAACAUAUGGAGAGAUAAUUGGAUCCCUAGGGAGUCUGGCCUAAAGAUCACCGCUAAGAAAAAUAGAACAAGGAUUAAAUGGGUGUCCGAGUUAUUCAUGACAGAUUCUAGGAGGUGGGAUGAGAAUUUGAUCAGGCACUUAUUUUAUCCUCAUGAUGCAGAUGAAGUCUUAAAGCUACGUGCUCUGGAUUUGGGGGAGGGGGACCUUAUUGCUUGGCAUCAUGAGAAAAGUGGCAUAUUUUCUGUGAAGAGUGUGUAUAGGCUCGCAUUGAAUAUCAGGGACUCAACAGAUAGUCUGGGAAAUUCUAGUGGAGAAGUUAAUGGAGAGAGGAGGAUCUGGAAUAUUAUCUGGAGAGCUAAUGUUCCUCAGAAGAUUAGAUUUUUUUCCUGGCGAGUUGCUUCAAACAGUUUGGCAGUUCAAGUUAACAGAGUUAAGCAUCAUCAAACCAUCAUGAGUACGUGUACAAUCUGUGGUGUGGAGGAUGAAUGCACUUUUCAUGCCUUGGUGAGUUUCCCAAAGGCUCGUGCAUUCCGGAUGGCUUUGAGAGAGGUGUGGAAUUUACCACCCGAAGGGAUUUUCAAAAAUACGGGGCUAGAUUGGCUCCUUAUUUUACUGGAUCAAUUAAACCCGUUGGCGCGUGAGCAAACUAUAUUCAUGUUGUGGAGAGCUUGGCAUUUACGAAAUGAUCUGAUUUUUGGUGAAGGUAAAGAACCCGUCUCAGCUUUUGUGAAUUUUGCACAAAAUUACUGGGCUUCCUUUUCUUCUUGCCAUGCAAAACCGCAGGGAGUGAUAAGUAACAAAGGCAAGGAACUGGGGGAUGACAUUCGGGCUUUGAAUAAUAUGGAGAGGAGUUCUGUUGGUUGGCAACCUCCCAAUGAGGAGUGCUUUAAGAUUAAUGUAGAUGCAAGUUUUGUGGAGGCAAUCAACGCUGCGAGUGUGGGGGUGGUUGUCAGAAAUCACUGUGGAGAAAUUGUCAUCUCCUCUUGGGAUUAUAUUGGAGCUUGCUAUAGCGCUGAGGAAGCGGAACUGCGAGCGGCACUCUUCGGAUUAUAUAUCGGUAUUACCCUUCAUAAAUCCAUCAUUUUAGAAACUGGCCGUUCUUUUGUGGUCGGUGCUCUUGGAAAUGACAAUUGUGACAGAUCCCCCCUUGUUGACCUAAAGAAACAAGUUUUGAGUAUUUCUAAGAUGCUGGCGAAUGUUAAGAUUUUCAAGAUUAGCAGAAAAGUUAAUAUGGUGGCGCACGAGUUAGCUAAGUUCAGUUUUAAUAAUAGAUGUGAUGGUGCUCUUAUUGAUAGUGUUCCGGUCUGUGUGGCUGAUGCUGUAACGAAUGAUUGUAUGAACAUUCUAUUUUAAUUAAUAUAUGGGUUGGGUUUUCAAAAAGAAAAUUCUAGAAGGACAAAGCAGAAAAAAACAUGGGUUGACUAGAUUGGGAAUUCGUGCUGAAAGUUAUUGAAUGCUAGAGUUGGGCAACCGUGAAAUCGUGUCCAAUUCGAGAUGGCUUGAAUUUUUUGGUCCACCGUUCUUAUUCUUCUCCCUUAUCUUCAUGGUGGCUGCGAUAACACUCGCCUUGCAUAUUCGCUUAAGUAAGUUGAUUUUUAUACACCUAUCCGUAGUGAACAACAUUUGGCUUGAAUUCAGAUGAGACGUUCGGCCUCACCUGCCUUUGCUACAGGGUCUGGGAUUACUCACUAGUCACUAGCAGAGAACCUGAAAGCUGAAUUUGUAACCUUACAUGAUGCAUCCGGAGGAUCCCCUCGCAUAAGAUUUGCCGAAAACUCUGCGUCCUGUAACCUUACAUUUUCUCAGACGAUCCCUUCCGGUUUGGUUUUGUUCGUCGAUCUUUAGCUUUCAAUACAGAUGAGCAUUAUCCUUAUUGUUGCCGUACUAGAGUGUUAUUGUGCUGCUCCUCAGGACGUACUAGUACUACUAGCUAGAGGACUGAACCAUGAGAACAAUCAACGAUGUACUCCUUCCGUUUCAAAAUAGAUGACUAAACUUUGUACUAACAAUAGUACAAAGUUAAUACAAAGUUGGGUCAUCUAUUUUGGAACGGAGGGAGUAUGAACUUAGGAGAUCUAAAUUUAUGUUGUCCGUGUCAGUGAAUCUAUGCUGAAUAUUAUGUUCAUUGACUGCACUAGGAAUGGCGAGCAUGGGACUGCAGAAGAACAGGGGACAGGGCCAGCAUUACCAGGUCCUGUGGAUGCACCCGAGGAUGCUUCCAAGGAGAAUGUUAGCCCCACUAAGGAAUCUGAUGAGGCUGAAGACAAUGGGUAAGUAAUUGAACAGACAACUUUUACGUACUAGCAUUUUUAGUGCCUUCUGUAUUUUACAUAUAUCUUCUGGCUGUGUCCCUUUAUAGUAUUAUUUUAGUGAAAUCUCCAUUUGUACCUGACUGGAAACCUGAAGUCGUUCCAGUUCUUACAUUCAUCAGCCUUGUCAUUCUGGUAAAAGCUGAAUUGAUUUACUUACACAGCAAUGCCUGCCCAUGUAUAAUCAAUGUACAUGCUAGAUUGUUAAGAGAGCACUUCCUGGCUUCUGUUAAGCAUUCAUUGGACUGCCGAUUAUAAAAUCAUAAAUUGUUAGUGUCGGAUGUCCUGAUUGUGUACAAGUAUAUGCAAACCUUUCGUCCGCGGUGUAGGCUGAUUUGUUGAAAAAUCAGACCAUGGUGUGAAAUGUUUACGGGAUCAAUUGAUGACGUAUAGCAUACUUGACUCUUUACUGGUGGGUGUAUCAUUGUUCACAAGUAUAUGCAAUCUUUCUGAUUCAGGGAGGUACCACUGAAGUUCAGAAACUACCUUCCUCAUGAUGAGCGACUUCGAGGCGGUAAGGUGGCUCCUCUGUCUCUUCCCAAGUUUGAAGAUCCAAUCGCUGCUGAUGCUGCUGAGCCAAAGCAGCUCGAGGUAACAUUAAACCCAACCGUAGUGAUACUUUUACAUCUUUGCAUCUUUCAUGAGGCUAACUCACCAAUAUUUAUCUGCAGAACCCUUUUGGGAACAUUGCUCCAAAGAACCCAAACUGGGAUCUGAAACGGGACGUGCAGAAGAGGAUCGACAAGCUGGAGAAGCGCACGCAGAAAGCUCUGGCUGAGAUCGCAUGUGAGUAACUGAUAGAUGUGUUUGGUUCCGUUUGUUUCACAGUUUGCUUGUCGUGUGUUUCCUUACUCAUGAUGAACUACCUUGCUCCUGCAGUGGAGCAGCAAAAGGAGAAAGAGGCGCUGGAAGAAGGAAGCGAUGCAGCUCAGGAGUGAAGUGAUACUGAUGGUGUUCCGAAUCUUUGCUUUGCAUAGCACAGAGGAAGCAGCCGAAGCAAAAUCUUGGCGUGUUUGUAAUGUCCGAGGACUGAAUAUGAACUUACAAAGUAAUGUAGGGAAAUUGUGUACUUGUGCUAACAUGAUCCAUGGAUAACUUUUGCAAUCAGUAUCCAUACAAUUUGGAGUUCUGCUGAUGGUUAGUACUCGAAUUAAACAUGUUUUGUCUCACGAAUUUGGAUGCUAGCUAGUCAUGACUUGCCUCAUGGAUCGGUCUCAUUGGGCGGAUAAUGAAUGUUGCUGGGUGUCCUUCAGUUAUUGGCACGUAGAGGCUUUGGCUUUGUUGGACAUCUCACAUCUGACUUGCUGGACGCAUACCAAGGAGCAACAGUAAUGUGAGGUGAGAUCACGAACAAUAACUACAGUACUUAUGAUCAACCAGGUCCUUCUUAUUGACAAAUUAUAAACUAGACAUAUUGACAACCUUCCAUAUUUGGUUUAUACCAACAAUCAAAACGCAGAUCAAAAUAGCUUCCCUUCUUCUAGGGAAAAUGUUGCAGCAAGCUGUUUUUGAGGCUGAGGCAACUUUCCUGUAUGAAUGUUCAAUUAUCCGCCGUAACAUGCACGAUGAAUCCAAAUUUAAACUAAACAACAUUUCAAAGGAAACAUAAAGAUGGGCAUAAUUUGAAUAUAUUUUUAGUGGUAACUCCAACCAACACAUGUAUGAUAGUCCUGCGAACUGCACAUCAAUUAAACACAUAUCACAAUGGAGUUAACCAACAUAACCCAUGUACAAAAGCUUUGAAGAAACCAACAAGGAAUAACAAAGAGGACUGGGUAGAGCUGGUAGGAUAGUAGAUAGAGGAACACUUGGGAAAAUAAACAAAGACAAUGAUACUUCAGGACGAGUGUGGUGGUUCCUCCAGCUCCACAACAGGUUUCACCAAGUUUGGAUGCUCGGCAAGCUGGCUUUCAAGUUGUUCCUUCAGUGCUUGAGCGUUGGAACCGUUCACUAGCAAGACUUGCUUGAGUUCUUCUAGGUUCUCCAGGCUAGAGAACUGAUAUGUCGGCGAUCCACCGCAGCAGUCAACCUUGAGCAGCUCGAGUUUCUUCAUUGUUUCUGAUCCAAAUUUCACAUGUAAGCUGCUGGAGCUGCCACCAGAAGCAAUAUGGAGGACCUUGACCUUUUCAAAUGAGUGGUCCUCAAGUCCAUUCCUAAUGACAUGGAAAUGAAGCUCGCCAUCUUGAAGCUGCUUGACCCGAAGAAUACAUAGCUGUGGCAGCUCGCCAAGGAGCGUCAUGUCAUUUUCUGUUAAACUGUCCAUCUCCAAAUCCAAUUUUUGGAGCUUGCUAAGCUGGCCGCUCCCCUCUGGCAACUUGUUACCGAGUCCAUACAAUUUAAGGCUCCGCAGGUUCUUCAGAGGCAGGAGGAUAUCAUCCAAGCAGCCUUCAAUGUCCAUCUGCACUGACAAGGAGUCCAGAUGCACAUGAACCGAGAUUGCAGAGAAGAAGUCUUUGCUAUGUUUGUUGAUGCCGGACACUCCGAGCUUCCGCAACUGGCUGAGCUUCUUGAUCUCUUUUAUGGCAGCCCUCCCCCCUGAAGCAGCGACAUUGACAACACCGAGCGUGUGCAGCCCUGUCAGAUUCCCAAUUUCCCCGGGCACUUGAACACCAACUAGUUGACGGCACUUGCAGAAAUCGGGCAACCAGCAGGAUGAAGCAGGUAGUGCUGAGACGGUGGUGCCACGGCCGGCACGAAUGUACUGCAACUUCUUUAACUUGGUGAUGCUCGCAGGCAGAGUCACUAUGGAGGUGUCCCUGACGUCCAAGGUCUGGAGCUGCCUGAGAUCCCCUAAUGAACUUGGUAGAUGAUCGAUCUCAGUAUGCCCUCGGAGAGAGAGGAACUUGAGGCGACACAGCCGUUUCACUACCUUCUUGAGAUCGCCAGCCGUUAUAUCUGAUGUUGCAUCCUCCAGAUCAAGGACCCGAAGCAGCUUCAUACGCUCAGAUAUGAAGAAUGAUUUCCACUUCCCAAACACUGUGAGUGAUCGCAGCCGUGAGAAGUCGAUGUUCUCAAAUACAAUUCUGUCUCUGUCCCAGUCGUCCAAUAUGACGAGGUGACGCCCUGUGCGCUGGGUGGUUAAUGCACAAUUACCCCCCAGCUCAAACACAAGGUUUUCUUCUUUCCGCAGCGGGAUGAUGUACUCACGGAUGAAACUGUUGAACUUGCACAAGGCCAUCUUUCUGUCAUUGAAUUCUGCGGUGGUGACUAGCUGUGGUACCUGCUGUAUCAUGCUCAGAUCAAGGAGGUCAGAGAAUUGCCGCUCUCCGUUCUCCUCUGCAGAUUCUUCAUUGUCUUCCCUGGAGUAGCUCUCUGCAAUCCAGCGCCUUAUUAGUCGCCUCCGCCUUAUGAUCUGGCCUUGAGGAAAAAUUGACAUGUAGAAGAUACACGGCUUGAGAGAAUCUGGGCAGGUACGGAAGUAGGAAUGCAUCCAACCAAAUAAAUCGUGUAGACUAUCAUAGUCCGGCUCGGUCUCCAGGUGGUGCAUAAGUCUCCGAUUCAAAGCAAGAAUUGUAUCCAUCCGUGUGACUGUCUGUUUGGCCAGUGCACAUGCUAUAGCAACUAUCACUUUGGGAAGGCCUCCACACUUCAAAAUUAGUUCUUUAACCUCCUCAGCUUCACACCAAUCUACUACAGAGGAUGAUGGAUCUGCCGAUGGUGUAUCCAGCUUGAGUGAGGAUGAUGGAUCCGCCGAUGGUGUAUCCAGGUUGAGUGAGGAUGACGGAUCCGCCGAUGGUGUAUCCAGCUUGAGCGAGGAUGAUGGAUCCUCCGAUGGUGUAUCUAGCUUGAGUGAGGAUGAUGGAUCCCCCGAUGGUGUAUCCAGCUUGAGCGAGGAUGAUGGAUCCUCCGAUGGUGUAUCUAGCUUGAGUGAGGAUGAUGGAUCCCCCGAUGGUGUAUCCAGCUUGAGUGAGGAUGAUGGAUCCCUCAAUGGUGUAUCCAGCUUGAGUGAGGAUGAUGGAUCCGCUGAUGGUGUCUCCAGCUUGAGUGAGGUCUUGCGUACCUAUAAUUCCAACAAUUUUGGAUUAACAUGGAGUGGAUUUGAUAUUUAAGCUAUAAAGUGAGUUAUCUACAAAAUACAUGGCACGUGCAUGGUAAUUCAUAAAUUAAUUUUACUAUUCAUUAUAUGAAUACAAAGUUAUAAAUGCUAAUAUUCUAGGGACAUUGACAUUGUCUCCCUGACAUUGCUUACCAACUUCAUAGUAAGUCGCUUAAAAUCUAAUGAAAUAGAGACAAUAUUAAUUUCUAUUGUCAUUGUUGUCCACAGUCAGUCAAAGAUUCAAUGGAUAUCAUAUUCCUAUGUACUCCUACUACUCUCAUUAUCCCCAAGUUAUACAUGUACUACUCUUGCUAUGUACGGAAAUAUUAGGAAAACUAUAAAAUGUGGUGCUACUUUCUUGUACCAUCGCUCGGCGUAAUUAUAGAAGGUGCAACACAAUGAGCCGAUGGAGCUUGGGGCAAAGAAGUUCGUGUGGAUUACUAGGGAGUUUAUGUUCUGGUCUGGACAACAUGUUGGUGAUUUUAUUCUGUAAAGAGUGGAUUUUAUCGACUCAAAAUGAAGUAUCAAGGGGAUACAAACACAUUGAGCAUACACCGAGCCCCUGCAAAACUAAGAUGCCCAUAGUCAACAUCAACGCACACACAAAAAAUCAUGCUGGCAAAGAGCAAACUCAUUCAAGACUGAAGUCAUUCCUAGGCAGAUGGAAAAGAAGAAAGAAAACUCUCAAGCAAUCAAAAUAGCUGUGGACAAACUACAACAACCAUCCGCCCCAACAUUCUCUUGACAUCACAAGGACAAUGGAAGAAGUUCUCCAGUAGCAAUGCCUCCAGGAAGGGAACGAUGCUCAAGCGCCGUCAUCGCCGGAUCCAACCAUCGAAGCCGGAUCAUGGGUUUUCAUCCGGAAUAUCAAGUCUUAGUAAACUCCAAACCAUGCCUUCAAGAAGGUAACAACGCCGAAACGCCGCCAUUGCUUGAUAUAACCAAUUAGGGUCAGGCCUAGGGUUUUCAUCCUGGAGCUCAAGACCGGGACUUGAGAAGCACCACCAUAUCAAAGUCAGCCUGUGUUGUCACCUCCACUUUCCAGAAAUCCCGGUGGCGGCCAUCAGGGUGAUAGACUUAUGAGUAUUUAGAGUAGUCUUGUUUAGCAUGAUUUGUCUCGUUUUUGUCCAUGUUUGUGUUAUUGCCAUGAUCUUGCCCGCCCUUUGGCAAGAUCAAAAUUUCAUUUCUUUAUAAUGAACAAUAUAACAAGGUUUGCCAUAUAUAUGCAUCUAAGGAUUUUCGGGCCAGAUGUAAUAAAAUCCUAUAUUUUCUAGAAAAAAGAAGGAAUAUGUGAGGAUGGCAAAAACGGCAACUAUAGACAUGCAUAUUGCAAAUCACAAAUGAUUAUGUUUUACAAAGAAUUUUAGUGCAAAUGUUGUAUCCAGUAGAACAUCUAAGAAUGUUGUUCCAUAGAAUUUGAAAUGAAUAUGUAGUGAGUAAUGUCUUUAGGCUGCCAAAAUCAAGCGGGCCAAAACAACUCAUGCAUGUGGUUUCGUAUUGCGAAAAAAAACGCCUGCACCGAAUUAGGUAUCAUCAGAAAUCAUACCUCCUGUUUGAAGAGAUCAAAGGCUGCAGCAGCUUCUAGACCUUUGACAUUGAACACGAGCUGUCUGUUAUUUGCACAGUAUGUGGCUAUACUUGCUUCAGUUGUAAUGACAAUGAUAACACUCUUAGAGGAUCUAGGUACCAUGGAUUUUUUUAUCAAAUCCCAUUCCUUUUUGUAGCGUAUACCAUCAAUAACAAUGAGACAACGGUCUUGUAUUAGAAGCUGGUGACACUCUUUAAUGGGAUCUUUUUCUGAGUGAAAAUCCGAAAGUAAAUCCUGACAGAAGUACUUCAAAUUGAAUGGAUGAGAUACAUUCACCCAACAAUACCUAUUAAAUAGUUUCUCUUCAGGUUGCUUUGUGUCAUCAAUAUUGCACAAGUCUCUGACGAGGGCUGACUUCCCCACACCUGCUAUCCCCCAGACAGACAUAACUUGGGAAGAUGACAUACGUGCAAUUGCUGGAUAUUUACGAAGUUCAUUCAUUUGUGACUCACGUCCAAUGAGGAUUGAACCCUGCACCAUUGGUUUCUUGCCUUUAUCUUCAUCGCCACUACUAGAACCCUGUACAUUUAUAUUUGUUGGGAAAGGUGUUAACACGCAAGGACCAAUUAGAGAGUGGAAAGGUACACAUCUAAUACUCCCUCCAAUCCAUAUUCAUUGUCGCUGAUUUGUACUAAAUCCGCAACAAAUAAUAUGGAUCGGAAGAAGUAAGUAAUUACUCGGGUGGUUUAAGAUAUCAUGCCAUUCUUUAUAAAUAGAAUAAUGGAUGGGCGAUGGUUUGCAAAAGAGAGACCUACUGUGCCAUUGACCAAAACAAGGAGUAACACAAAAUUGAAAGGUAAUUUGAAACACUGAUAUGUUUCAGGCUUGCGUACCUUCUUGAAGAGGGCACAAACAGAGUGCUCGGGUGAGAAGUGCAUCAACUCCAAUAUCUGGUAAGAAUCGCCAAUGCACAAGCAUGCCAUUUCUGACUCCUUUGUGGACACAAUGAUGCGGCUGCCGUUCUUACUGUGAGGAAGAAAGGUCCUGACAGCAUGCCACUCUGCCAUGUUUGAGAGAUCUUCCAAGACAACGAGGUACCUCUUCUCUGUAACCAGCUGCUCGAACUCCUUGCGGAGAUCUGAUUGAGAUUGGGUGGCCUGAUCCAUCUUGGUUAGGACUUGUACACCUAUGGUGCUUGCUCUUUGUUCUUUGAAACAGCUUUCGAAGAACUGAGCCAUCAAGUUGCGGACGAAGUCAUGUGGAUUGAACGGACGCAUGAGCUUCACCCAGGCCCUGUAGGUGUAGCUAUUGCGGAUCUCUGAGGCAUUGUAGGUCGUCAUGAUGACAGAUGUGGUCCCAUGGUUGCCUUCUGAUCCCCACACCGAGAUAACUUGGAGGUCACCAUUGGGAUGACCAUUUUGAGUGAUCAGCUGGGUGAGAUCCCCUGUGCAUUUCUGCCCAUCCGCGGCAUCCCUUGCCUUGAGGAGCAUAUCGAGUGCUAUUGCGCUGGAGACUCCUUGUUGUUUCUGCAUCAUGACCAACUUGGAGGCAACAGAGCCGGUGAUGUUGCUGUAGCGCAAGUAACACUUGCUCAACUCGUCAGCUCUGCCCUUGAGCUCUGCUAAAUCCUCGACGGCCUGGUCCAGUGGCAGCGACCGGCCUGCCAGUGCCAUGCAAGGCUUGAACAACCGGCGCCAGAAUAUUCGCUUGCUAUCCAAAUGGAUAACGAACUCGAUGCAGUCUUCGAGGUCAUAGGCCAAUUCACGGACGUGCCUCACCCAGGUCCUCACCAUAUUAUUCAUGAUGCUCUCCUCCUUGGCGACGUCAAGGAAGGACUGAAUCAUCUCGAACUCGAGAGUGAUGGACACAAGGUCACAGUGCGCCUUCUGCCGGAGCUUGGUGUCCUCCUCGAUCGCCGACUCGAUCUUGCUGAUCGCCCCCACCACCACCGAUUUCGCCAACCCAACCGCCAGUCGGUCCGCCAUGAUGCUACCUCUCUCUUCCUUCUCCCUUGGAUAGGUGUGUCUUCUUUCUCGUGUGGUCGGAGGUGUAGCUACAGAUCAGGAGCUGGUCAGCACCAGGAGAGGGAUGGCAGUCUUAAAGGAAAAACCCAUCCAUGAGCUAUGCUGUCGAAACAGCUAAUUAAUUAGACAAAACAAGUGGCCGGCCAGAUCCGUAAGACACGGGGGCAAAGUAUUGGCUCGAUGAUUCAAAGUAUAUAAUCAGAUCAUCCGCGUGCGUAGCUUUAACAGCCAAUGCAUCAUUUGAAGUAAACUAAUAUCUUUACCGGAACUAAUUUACGUACGAUAUUUAAAGAUGUGACUCUUGUACGAUCCCAAUCCAACAAUGUGCCUUUGUUCUGCUCCAUUCAAAGCAAUUGACAAAGGGCAUAUUAAUUUCAACUGUCGUCUCGUAUCGUAUGUAUAGCAUCGCUCUAGCUUAACAACUCUGUAUCAACCUUCCAGGCUGGCUUGUUAAUUAGCCUUUGUCCCCAUCUGAUAAAAAAAUAUGCACUCAAAGCUAGCUAGCUGUUUAGCUGUUUUCGAUUGUGAUGGUGAUCGACAAUGAUUUUAAUUGCUAGCUACGGACGCUGCAGCCUCAGAUAGCUGCGCUAUUUGAUAUAUAUAUAGUUUGCCAUCAGCUAUAGCUAAAGCUAUUACUAAGCAUGGGCAAAAAAUAGCAUCCAACCAUUUGUACAUGUAAAUUUAAUCCAAAACGACGAUGUAUAUAACUAAAUAACAUUAGAAAACAGAAACUCUAACAAUGUAGCAUCAAAUCUUUCUUAUGUGGUUGUUUUGUCUUGGAGCUUCGGCUAGUGGCGACUGCUUCAAGGCGAUUGCCAUGACACUCAUGCAUGAUGACAUAACCAUGAAAGAAAAUAAACCGUCCAUCCAUAUGUUAAUUAGUUAAAAGAUUGAUUCUCUUUAUUCCCUACUUAACCAACAUUUUUUUUGUUAGGCACUUGCUUUUUUCUCUUUUACUUUGGAAAACACGAUGGUUGGCAUAGCUAUAGGCCGGACCUCACCGCGAUGCCAUGAAAAACACGAUUUAAAACCUUGGUGACCGAGCUCCCAAUGUUAACAAUGACUUUCUUCCCCAUGUACACAGCAAUGCACACACAAAAACUCUAAUGGAGAUUGGCUCUCAAAUGGUAUAACUAAAUGAAGCAUAUGUGGAAUUACCAAAAAUCAAGCUCUUGAAAGAUUUAUGUGAAGCACAAGGAGCAAAAGUGAUGUCCAUCUCACUAUAAAGCAAUAUGCAUGGAUCCUCUAGCUGAUAUUAGUGAAUGCACAAGCAUGAGAGGCAGGGAAUCAUAUCUCACAUAUAAGCAAUAAACACAUGAAAUAUGAUGUAACCUACAAAAGAUCAUCUCACAUAAAAAUGAUUAUGAGGACUUAUAUGGUACCUCUCUCAUCUACUUAUUUUUUCCAGUUUUUUCCUGUUCUCUUUUUUUCCCAUGAUCUACAAUAAUGUCCGGUUCUCAGAGUAGUUACCUUUGCAAGGAUUUCCAUAGACCUUAAAUAAGCAAUCGCAUGUUCUCUAGUUCUGAAAACUCUAAGAUGUGCACUGGUGUUACUGAUAGUAAAUAUCAAUGGACCUGCGCCUAUAUAACGACACCACCAUGCUUAUGUGUGCUCUCACUCCACAUGGCGGGGGAGCUGAUCUGCUACGAAACAUCAAAAUGAUUAUUUCGUAUAAUGUUUUUCGUUUGUCCUUUGGCAGUGAAGUUCGGGCUUAUUUUCUCCAUGCAUAAUAGCAAAAUUGUAAGAAAUCUACAAUAGAAUCAAUUUUACUCGCAAGAGAAAAAUGGAUACGAUUGGGAAGCACCAUCGCUUAUCACGAAAUGUCAUUCUUAAGGGAGCUACCUAUAGUUCAGCUAUUACGCAACAGUUUUUAAGCAAGACUGCUAGCCAGACGAGUUGGUUUGAAUCAUAGGUGCGAGCUGAGCGGGUUCAACAUCACGUCAGUUUCCCUCAAAAAAACAUCAGUCUUGGUCUUGUUCCAUGAAUGGACGCCAUAAAACUAGUCGAUCUAUCGGAUUGAUGGGUGCGCACCAGCCGGCCGUAAUAUCAUAUGGCAAACCCAAGGUCAUGGAUUCUUGCUGUCCCCAAGGUUGUCCACCAACUAGGCACAUGUAAAUAUUGCACACACUAUAGAGCGUUGCUAGACAGACCACGCCUGCACGGCCGAUGCAUGAACGAUUCAUACGUGGCAGCACCAGCAGCUACCGAUUCUCAAUAAAAAAAGCACCAGCAGCUACCGUGCGUGGAGGAGCCCUGUUGGGGAGGGAGAAUCGUGCAGGUGUCGUGCACUAACCGUCGUGUGUAAAGCAAUUUUGCACACUAUAUGUGAACUAUUGGCAUCUAUCAUUUGGCAAGAGUAGGAGGAGCAUAUGUCUAGCAACGGCACGGGUCAUGUCAGGAAAAAAAAACUAUUGGCAUGGGUGGCCGAAAUGUGAAAAGGAGGAAGAAAGCGACUCAUUUUGCAUCAGCAUUUGUUUUAAACCAAACCAGUUCCUUUAGGCUACGUUUGGCAGCAGAGUAUUUCUAAAAACUGUAGUUUCUACCCUCCAAACUCACGUGGUGCUUAAAGUUUAUUUAGAAAAAUGAAAAUCUUAUUUUCAAAUAGUAAAGAGAUCAUCUUUCUCUAUUCUAUCUUUUUCUUGUGAGUUCUACGUUCACAUAGAUGGGCAACUUGAUAAAGAUGGUUGAACCAAGGUGCACUAGUACACUGAUAACUAAGUGCCAUCACCAGGUAGCAUGGCUGGUUCGCAAUCUUCAACCCAACGAACUAAGUACUAUCAAUGGCAUGCACCUACACCAAGAUGUUCUACAAUCAGCUUGCUAGUAAAGUUGGAGCUUGUUUUCUUCAUGCAUGAAAGCAAAGAAUCGCAAAAAAUCUACAAUAAUGCCAUUCUUAAGGGAGCAACCUAGCUCGCAUAUUACACAACAGUUUAAGCAAAACUGCUGGCCACAUGAGUUGGUUUGAGUCAUCCGUGGCUGAGCUGAGCUCAAAGUCUUGGUCUUGGCCUGUCGAUCGACGCCAUAAACUAGUCGAUUGAUUGUAUCAAUGGGUGCGCACCAGCCGUAUUAUCAUAUGGCAGACCCAAGGUCAUGGAUUCUCACUGUCCCCAAGGUUUUAACAAGGCCGCAUAGAUAGAUAGAUAGAUCGAUGCGUUCAGUUCAUUGCCCAAAGUUGUCCACCAAUCCGGCACAUGUAAAUAUUGCAAAGACCAUAUGUGAACUUUUGGCAUCUAUCAUUUGGCAAGAGUAAUAAUAAAUGGCACGGGUCGUGUCAGCAAAAUAAAAAUAAAAAUAUUGCCUUGGUUGGCUGAAAUGUGAAAAAGACGAAGAAAGCGACUCAUUUUUGCACCAGCAUUUGGUUUAAACCAAACCAGUUCGAGUAAAUUGCAUAAAACCACCAUUUUGAGGGCUAGGUUUGCGAAAAACACUAGGAUGCAGAUUCGCUGCAGAAAGCACCACGUCUAGCGUAAUUGUUUUGCAAAAACCACUGAUCGGCGGAUCGGGCCGUGUUAAGUGAGUUUAUGACAGGUGGAGCCCUUUUUUUUGCCUACGUGGCACUCCAGGCCGUCCUGAAAGUUGGCAGACAGCGUUAGACGGUGCGUUAGGUCUCGUCUUUAGUCAUCCCCGCAUCCAUCUCCUUUUCCCCAUUCUUCUUCCCCCCCCCCCCCUCACUCCCACCGCCGUCGCCCCUCGCACUACAGAGAUGCGUAGUCCGGCGAAAGGUGGAGUUGCUGGUGGCGGCAUUCCGCCCGGCAGCGCCGCACGCAUCGUAGGUAGUCGAGGAGGACCCGCGGUGGAUCCAGGCGAGCUUUGCGGGAGCUCGAACCCUAGCAAGCCGACGGAGGAAUUGGAAGAGGAGGACCCGCAGUAUUCGAUGGAAUACCGGGCAGCGAGAGCAUUCGCCGUGGCGGUGAAGGCCAGUCCGACGGGAAGACAGUACAUCGGGUCAUCCUACGGCGACGUAUAGUGAGAUCCACUUUUCUUUGCUCUUCCCCUUCCCGUUCUCCAGUGAAACUAUGUUGUGUUGGUACUAUUCUGCUACUCCAGUUGUGUGAAACUAUGUUGUGUUGGUACUGUUCUGCUACUCCAGUUGUGUGAAACUAUGUUGUCUUGAUGCUGUCAAACUUUGGAAUUCUAGUAGUCCUGUGAUGAUCAACUGUGAUGAUCAAUUGAUGUAGUGCUACUCUAGUUUUAAACCUUGUGUCAAACUACUGUGAUGAUCAAUUGAUGUAGUGCUACUCUAGUUUUAAACCUUGUGUCAAACUAUGGCAUUCUAGUAGUACUAUGUUACUCUUGUGAUGAUGGUGAUGGUGCUACUUGACCCUACUUGACCCUACUUGAUGCCUCGGCGUCGAUAAAAAGCCAAAAACCCUAACUUGGCCUACUUGAUGCCUCGACAUCGAUAAAAAGCCCAAAACCCUAACUUGGUCUACUUGAUGCCUCGACAUCGAUAAAAAGCCAAAACAACCCUAAUUGACCCUACUUGAAGCCUCGACAUCGACAAAAAGCCAAAAACCCUCACUUGACCCUACUUGAAGCCUCGUCGUCGACAAAAAGCCAAAAACCCUAAUUGACCCUACUUGAAGCCUCGACAUCGACAAAAAGCCAAAAACCCNNNNNNNNNNNNNNNNNNNNNNNNNNNNNNNNNNNNNNNNNNNNNNNNNNNNNNNNNNNNNNNNNNNNNNNNNNNNNNNNNNNNNNNNNNNNNNNNNNNNNNNNNNNNNNNNNNNNNNNNNNNNNNNNNNNNNNNNNNNNNNNNNNNNNNNNNNNNNNNNNNNNNNNNNNNNNNNNNNNNNNNNNNNNNNNNNNNNNNNNNNNNNNNNNNNNNNNNNNNNNNNNNNNNNNNNNNNNNNNNNNNNNNNNNNNNNNNNNNNNNNNNNNNNNNNNNNNNNNNNNNNNNNNCCUAAUUGACCCUACUUGAAGCCUCGGUGUCGAUAAAAAGUCAAAAACCCUAAUUGACCCUACAUGAAGCCUCGGCAUCGAUAAAAAGCCAAAAACCCUCACUUGACCCUACUUGAUGCCUCGACGUCGAUAAAAGCCAAAAACCCUAACUUGUCCUACUUGAUGCGUCGGAGUCGACAAAAAAAAAACAAAAAACCCCACUUGCCCUACUUAACUCAUAAUCAUCAGUUGAACAGAAACAUACUAAAGCCAAAAUCAUCAAUUGCAAACAGAUUACUUAAGAUAACAUUAACCAUCUCUAAAUACCACUGCAUUCAGCACUAGUUCAAAUCCAUACAUAAUCAUAGUUUGACAUUCAGCACUAGUUCAAAUACCACCACAUUCAGCUCUAGUU